AGUGAACAUUUCGUAUAAAAAAAUACGUUUUUUUUGAAUAAACUUCAGUUUUCUGGGAAUAACAUUAUCCAAAUAAAGGAGAUUGUUUAUUAAAAAAAAAGGGGGGAGGAGGGGCAGGAGGAAAGUGGAGCCUGCAGAGUAAAUAUUAUUUAGAGACAUCAGGAUCAAUAGUCCCAUUGUGUGUUGUGCAGAUUUGUCAUAAUGUCUUCUGUCUUAAGGCCAUGACUUAGAAAAUUCUCUGCAGAGGAAGCUAAAUGACAUAAUCUGCCUCAUAAAUAACAGCUGAUGCUGUGGCAGCAUCAUACUGAACUUUAACAAGAAACUGCCCUUCUUUCCUUAAAAAGGGGAUAUGAUUAUAUGAGGAUUUUGAAAAUGUGCAAAUAGCUUGAAAUUUUCCUACUUCAGACCUUGAAAGAUUUGAUAUCUGGUUUGAGCUCUGCUUCUUGGUUCCAUAUUUAUCUGAUACUUAUCUUAGUGUUUCAAUUGACUCUGGGGUUAUUUUUUAUCCUUAUUUCUGCUUCAGUGGCUGAGAGCUUGGUUAGUCAGCUACUUCUACAGGAGGACUUUUCUUACACAAUUCACCAAUUCUUUGGUGUGUGAAGGUUCUGUAAGCAAUGGUAAAUAGCUGUGGGUUGCUUUAAAUGCAAAAAACACAGGUAAAAAUGGUAACCUGUUAGCAUUCAUCAAAUUCUUGGAACCAAAAAAUAAGUUAGCAACUGCAAAAUGCAUAUGAGAAACUCAAAUCUGUAUUUAGUAUUUUUGAACUUUUGGUCUCUGUAUUUCUUUGGUGCGGUUGGAAUUGGGCAAUGAAGUUUAUCAGGCUUAGGUGAGGGCUGCAGUGUACCAGUGUUGCCUCAGCAUUCUGGGCAGGAGGUGGCCAGUUCCUGUGACAGAGCACAGAGGCACAUGUCACACACUCGAGCUGCUGGUGGGAGUGUGAGCUGCAGGAACAUUUGGCAGAUGUGUAGGACAUGCAGCAGGCAGGCUGGAAGACCUUUGGACUUAACUGAGGCAAUUUUCUUGUGGUUCAUGGAUUUGUCUACCCAGACUAUUGAGCUCUUUAAUGAAAUGCUGUUUGUUCCUUCAGUAAUAGCAGGUAUUAUUGUAAGUGAUCCAUCAUAUAAUAAUCCAGCAGAAGGGUAAAUGACUAUCUAGCAUUUGACCAUUGUUAUCUGAAUCUCCUGUAAACUCCUUUGCUUCAGUCCCAGGAUCAUUUAGUUUUUUAUAUGUUUAAGAUUUAUUUUGGUUUGCAUAAGCAAGAUCUUCAGGGCAGUGAAUGCUUCCACAGUUUUAUGUGAGGGACAGUUAGUUAACCCUCACUGCAUGAGUUAUUCUCCUACUGCUGGCAAAGAGGUGUCCUGCUGGUAACUGCUUUAAGAACAGCAUUUUGUAUUAUUAUUACGAGCAAGAUGAUGAUGAUCUUCAGCCCUGGAAGGGUUUGUCCUCUGCCUGGUUACCGGAGAGCUGAGAGAAGAAAGUCUUGGCAGUACAGAGGAGGACUGGAUUUGAACAUAGCGUUUGGCUCUGUGGCCGGGCAUGGCUGUGUCUGCCAAGUACUUGUAACAACAGCAAGUUACUUCCUAGAACUUUUCUCCUUUCCUUAAAAAAAUUCCAGAAAGUUGCUGGUAUUAAUAAGGAAGAAAAAGGGUUCUAGUCUUUGGGCCAUGUAAUUGAGUAUGGGAGAUAAACAUCUGUGAAUGUAUUAUGCUCUGUUAUCUCACAUACAUAAAUUCAGUAUACUCUGGUUUGAAUACUCAGCUGGUGGAAUAAUCUAUCAAACAGGCAAAUAUGACAAGCUGAUGGAUUUAUUAAGAGUUGGUAUAAGGUAGUUGUGACCAAGCACGCAGUUUCAUCAGCACACUCCAAGUGGUGCUUUUGUUAGUGCUCUUUCAAAUGUGUUAUUGCCAUUUUACACCCUGUGGUAGCUGACAAUAGUCCGUAUUAUGUUGUGUAAGGCUAGCUCAGGUGUUGGCUUUAUGUAUUUUCUGGGAAUCAAAGUGAUGUAUGCGUGGCAACUUCUGUGUUCUUGAAAUGUUUCUAAAGCAGAGCUUUGCAUGUCCUUGCCCAGCAGGACUGGGCUCCUGCUUGGGGAGAGCAUGAAGCUGGUCAGAGAUAAGAGCCUUACCUCCAUCACUGUGCGCUG
rnacentral:lncRNA from 1 species